CCGCCCGUCACACCAUGGGAGUGGGUUGCACCAGAAGUAGCCGUGUCAACCGCAAGGAGACAGGUGCCGAAGGUAUGGAUGGUGAUUGGGAUG
rnacentral:rRNA from 1 species